rnacentral:rRNA from 1 species
ACUAACUAGGAUUCCCUCAGUAGCUGCGAGCGAACAGGGAAGAGCCCAGCACUGAAUCCCGCGGACUUUACGGUCCGUCGGGAAAUGUAGUGUUUGGGAGGGUCCACAAUCCCGAGGUGGUGCGGCGCGUCCAAGUCCUUCUUGAACGGGGCCACUUGCCCAUAGAGGGUGCCAGGCCCGUAGCGACCGCCGCCCGCAGCGGGAGGAUCUCUCCUCGGAGUCGGGUUGCUUGAGAGUGCAGCCCUAAGUGGGUGGUAAACUCCAUCUAAGGCUAAAUAUGACCACGAGACCGAUAGCGAACAAGUACCGUGAGGGAAAGUUGAAAAGAACUUUGAAGAGAGAGUUAAAUAGUACGUGAAACCGUUCAGGGGUAAACCUGAGAAACCCGAAAGGUCGAAUGGGGAGAUUCAGCGCGUAUCGAAGGAUGCGAGUGUCUGUUGCGAGACGGUGAUCGUUCGCGAGAGCCGCUCCAUCGGUUACCGUCGUCCGACGAACGCGUGCACUUCUCCCCUAGUAGGACGUCGCGACCCGUUGGGCGUCGGUCAGAGGUCCGCACGGUAGACCGCGCGAGGAGCUUCGGCACCUCGUCGGACCUGCGGUUGCCCGGCCGACACGCUCGACGGUACGACAAUGGCGCGGGGCCGCGACUAGUUCGCGUCUGGCCCGUCGCAAGUACGAGCGGUGGAUUCGGAUGUCGGACCUGGUGCCGACUCUGGACCCGCUUGGCUGCUGGCGACGGUGUCCUUGGACAGACCCUGUCAAGCGCCGGUCAGCGACGCUAUAGCGUUGGGUACUUUCAGGACCCGUCUUGAAACACGGACCAAGGAGUCUAGCAUGUGCGCGAGUCAUUGGGACUAGCGAAACCUAAAGGCGAAAUGAAAGUGAAGGCGUCCUUCGGGAUUGCCGAGGGAGGAUGGGCGGUGCCGCGGUGCCGCCUCGCACUCCCGGGGCGUCUCUAGCUCAUUGCGAGCUGAGGCGCACCCAGAGCGUACACGCUGGGACCCGAAAGAUGGUGAACUAUGCCUGGUCAGGACGAAGUCAGGGGAAACCCUGAUGGAGGUCCGUAGCGAUUCUGACGUGCAAAUCGAUCGUCGGAACUGGGUAUAGGGGCGAAAGACUAAUCGAACCAUCUAGUAGCUGGUUCCCUCCGAAGUUUCCCUCAGGAUAGCUGGCGCUCAUUUGCGAGUCUCAUCCGGUAAAGCGAAUGAUUAGAGGCAUUGGGGUCGAAACGGCCUCAACCUAUUCUCAAACUUUAAAUGGGUGAGAUCUCCGGCUUGCUUGAAUUUUGAAGCCGGAGCUCACAGGAUCAGAG